AGAGUUUGAUUCUGGCUCAGGAUGAACGCUGGCGGCGCGCCUAACACAUGCAAGUCGAACGAAGUUUUACUUCGGGUGAGAACUUAGUGGCGGACGGGUGAGUAACGCGUGAGUAACCUGCCUUUCAGAGUGGGAUAACUCAGGGAAACCUGUGCUAAUACCGCAUAACGUUGCGAGAUCACAUGGUCAUGCAACCAAAGGAGCAAUCCGCUGAAAGAUGGACUCGCGUCCGAUUAGAUAGUUGGUGAGGUAAUGGCCCACCAAGUCAGCGAUCGGUAGCCGGACUGAGAGGUCGAACGGCCACAUUGGGACUGAGACACGGCCCAGACUCCUACGGGAGGCAGCAGUGGGGAAUAUUAGGCAAUGGGGGGAAACCCUGACCUAGCGACGCCGCGUGAGGGAAGAAGGUCUUCGGAUUGUAAACCUCUGUCUUCGGGGACGAUAAUGACGGUACCCGAGGAGGAAGCUCCGGCUAACUACGUGCCAGCCGCCGC
rnacentral:rRNA from 1 species